GCUUGUCUCAAAGAUUAAGCCAUGCAUGUCUAAGUAUAAACGACUUUAUACUGUGAAACUGCGAAUGGCUCAUUAUAUCAGUUAUAGUUCAUUUGAUGGUCCUUGCUACUUGGAUAACCGUAGUAAUUCUAGAGCUAAUACAUGCAUCAAGCCCCGACUGUUUGGAAGGGGUGUAUAUAUUAGAUUGAAACCAAUGCAGCUUCGGCUGGUAUUGUGUUGAGUCAUAAUAACUGUGCGGAUCGCUUUUUAAGCGAUAAAUCGAUUGAGUUUCUGCCCUAUCAGCUUUGGAUGGUAGGAUAUGGGCCUACCAUGGC
rnacentral:rRNA from 1 species